rnacentral:rRNA from 1 species
UACGUAGGGCGCAAGCGUUGUCCGGAUUCACUGGGCGUAAAGCGUGCGCGGGCGGCUUUGCAAGACAGAUGUGAAAUCCCCGGGCUUAACCUGGGAACUGCAUUUGUGACUGCAUGGCUGGAGUGCGGCAGAGGGGGAUGGAAUUCCGCGUGUAGCAGUGAAAUGCGUAGAUAUGUGGAGGAACACCGAUGGCGAAGGCAGCCCCCUGGGCUAACACUGACGCUCAUGCACGAAAGCGUGGGGAGCAAACAGG